rnacentral:rRNA from 1 species
GUGCCAGCAGCUGCGGUAAUACGGAGGGUGCAAGCGUUAAUCGGAAUUACUGGGCGUAAAGCGCACGCAGGCGGUCUGUCAAGUCGGAUGUGAAAUCCCCGGGCUCAACCUGGGAACUGCAUUCGAAACUGGCAGGCUGGAGUCUUGUAGAGGGGGGUAGAAUUCCAGGUGUAGCGGUGAAAUGCGUAGAGAUCUGGAGGAAUACCGGUGGCGAAGGCGGCCCCCUGGACAAAGACUGACGCUCAGGUGCGAAAGCGUGGGGAGCAAACAGGAUUAGAUACCCUGGUAGUCCACGCCGUAAACGAUGUCGAUUUGGAGGUUGUGCCCUUGAGGCGUGGCUUCCGGAGCUAACGCGUUAAAUCGACCGCCUGGGGAGUACGGCCGCAAGGUUAAAACUCAAAUGAAUUGACGGGGGCCCGCACAAGCGGUGGAGCAUGUGGUUUAAUUCGAUGCAACGCGAAGACCUUACCUGGUCUUGACAUCCACAGAACUUUCCAGAGAUGGAUUGGUGCCUUCGGGAACUGU